rnacentral:rRNA from 1 species
AUGGCUAAAGUGGUAUGGCCUUCUGUUGGGAUGGCUCUAGGGACUGACCUUUGUCUGAACAGUUACUGGCAAUAUUUCUCCUAGUGCCACACUUUCUUUCCCUCUGGAAAGAAAUACUAUACAGUUGGCCUCGCGGCUGUUUGCUGGGCUAUCUGGCUGGCUCGAAAUCGAGCCAGUUUUGAGGAAAAACAGAUUAAGAUACCAUUUGAGAUUGUAUUUUCCAUGUGAUCCUUUUUGCUAUAUUGGGCAGGUCUUCAGCAAGGUGAUAGAGUCAAGGAGCUGCGCAGCGGAGCGGCGAUGGUCGGGUCAAGCACCAUGAGCAUGAUGAAGAUGUGCGAGGCGGCGAGGAGACCGAUCGAGGGAGAAUGA